rnacentral:rRNA from 1 species
AGUAACGGCGAGUGAAGCGGCAAAAGCUCAAAUUUGAAAUCUGGUACCUUCGGUGCCCGAGUUGUAAUUUGGAGAGGGCAACUUUGGGGCCGUUCCUUGUCUAUGUUCCUUGGAACAGGACGUCAUAGAGGGUGAGAAUCCCGUGUGGCGAGGAGUGCGGUUCUUUGUAAAGUGCCUUCGAAGAGUCGAGUUGUUUGGGAAUGCAGCUCUAAGUGGGUGGUAAAUUCCAUCUAAAGCUAAAUAUUGGCGAGAGACCGAUAGCGAACAAGUACAGUGAUGGAAAGAUGAAAAGAACUUUGAAAAGAGAGUGAAAAAGUACGUGAAAUUGUUGAAAGGGAAGGGCAUUUGAUCAGACAUGGUGUUUUGUGCCCUCUGCUCCUUGUGGGUAGGGGAAUCUCGCAUUUCACUGGGCCAGCAUCAGUUUUGGUGGCAGGAUAAAUCCAUAGGAAUGUAGCUUGCCUCGGUAAGUAUUAUAGCCUGUGGGAAUACUGCCAGCUGGGACUGAGGACUGCGACGUAAGUCAAGGAUGCUGGCAUAAUGGUUAUAUGCCGCCCGUCUUGAAACACGGACCAAAAU